UUUAAUUGAAGAGUUUGAUCAUGGCUCAGAUUGAACGCUGGCGGCAGGCUUAACACAUGCAAGUCGAGCGGUAGCAGGGAGAAAGCUUGCUUUCUCCGCUGACGAGCGGCGGACGGGUGAGUAAUGUCUGGGGAUCUGCCUGAUGGAGGGGGAUAACUACUGGAAACGGUAGCUAAUACCGCAUAACGUCGCAAGACCAAAGUGGGGGACCUUCGGGCCUCAUG
rnacentral:rRNA from 1 species